CUUUCUCCGCCGGCGACCGGCGCACGGGUGAGUAACACGUAUGCAACCUGCCCCUGUCAGGGGGACAACCCGCCGAAAGGCGGGCUAAACCCGCGUACAUGCCACCGGGGCAUCCCGGAGGCAGGAAAGGCUUCGGCCGGACAGGGAUGGGCAUGCGGCGCAUUAGGCAGUAGGCGGGGUAACGGCCCACCUAACCGACGAUGCGUAGGGGUUCUGAGAGGAAGGUCCCCCACACUGGUGCUGAGACACGGACCAGACUCCUACGGGAGGCAGCAG
rnacentral:rRNA from 1 species